UACGAAGGGGGCAAGCGUUGUUCGGAAUUACUGGGCGUAAAGGGCGCGUAGGCGGCUUACCAAGUCAGGCGUGAAAUUCCCGGACUCAACCUGGGGGCUGCGCUUGAUACUGGUGAGCUUGAAUGCGGGAGAGGAUAGUGGAAUUCCCAGUGUAGAGGUGAAAUUCGUAGAUAUUGGGAAGAACACCGGUGGCGAAGGCGGCUAUCUGGCCCGUAAUUGACGCUGAGGCGCGAAAGCGUGGGGAGCAAACAGG
rnacentral:rRNA from 1 species